rnacentral:sRNA from 1 species
AUGUCCCGCCCUCGCAUGCGCCUGGUGGUCACCGCGGACGACUUUGGUUACUGCCCGCGACGCGAUGAGGGUAUCGUGGAGGCCUUUCUGGCCGGGGCCGUGACCAGCGUGUCCCUGCUGGUCAACGGUGCGGCCACGGAGAGCGCGGCGGAGCUGGCCCGCAGGCACAGCAUCCCCACGGGCCUCCACGCCAACCUGUCCGAGGGCCGCCCCGUGGGUCCGGCCCGCCGUGGCGCCUCAUCGCUGCUCGGCCCGGAAGGCUUCUUCCUUGGCAAGAUGGGAUUCCGGGAGGCGGUGGCGGCCGGAGACGUGGAUUUGCCUCAGGUGCGGGAGGAGCUCGAGGCCCAACUAAGCUGCUUCCGGGAGCUGCUGGGCAGGGCCCCCACGCACGUGGACGGGCACCAGCACGUGCACGUGCUCCCAGGUGCGUGGUUAGUGAUCCCAGUUUGGAGGGCGUUACUCCCAGGCGGGGCUGGGGGAGUAGGGGAAGUUCGAUGCCCCCAGGUGAAAGGACCCGCUCCGCCCGCAGGCGUGUGCCAGGUGUUCGCCGAGGCGCUGCAGGCCUAUGGGGUGCGCUUUACGCGACUGCCGCUGGAGCGCGGUGUGGGUGGCUGCACUUGGCUGGAGGCCCCCGCGCGUGCCUUCGCCUGCGCCGUGGAGCGCGACGCCCGGGCCGCCGUGGGCCCCUUCUCCCGCCACGGCCUGCGGUGGACAGACGCCUUCGUGGGCCUGAGCACUUGCGGCCGGCACAUGUCCGCUCACCGCGUGUCCGGGGCCCUGGCGCGGGUCCUGGAAGGUACCCUAGCGGGCCACACCCUGACAGCCGAGCUGAUGGCGCACCCCGGCUACCCCAGUGUGCCUCCCACCGGCGGCUGCGGUGAAGGCCCCGACGCUUUCUCUUGCUCUUGGGAGCGGCUGCAUGAGCUGCGCGUCCUCACCGCGCCCACGCUGCGGGCCCAGCUUGCCCAGGAUGGCGUGCAGCUUUGCGCCCUCGACGACCUGGACUCCAAGAGGCCAGGGGAGGAGGUCCCCUGUGAGGCCACUCUGGAACCCUUCCUGGAACCCUCCCUACUCUGACCCCCUACAGACAACCAAGCACUAAUCCCGUUAGUACCAAGAAAGGGGAGCCAGGAUUUAGUCCUGGCCCAGCCCAGAGCUGGGCCCUGGAGCACGAUCUGUUGACUUCCCUGGGUAGGACACUGCCACCUCUGGGCUCAGGUCCUCAUGCCUCCAAAUGGCAUCUAGAGUUUGAGCAGCCUUCUUGACUGCAGGCAGGCCCAGCCUGUGGCAGCGGGCUAGGGCCCGCAGAGCAUUUGGUGCCCCUCCAUGUUGCAAUGCAAACACCUUCACCACUGGGGCAGUGGGGAGAGAUG